GGGAAGCCUCUCCUUCCAGGUGUGCACUGCCUUGGAAAGCAUGAAGCACAUGCCACAGCCUGAAGGGGGGCUUUGAACUCAGGCCAGCCAGGUAGCCCUGUCAGCAGAAUGUCCCUCUCCACAGGCAGGGGUGGAUGCUUCAUCCCCACCUGAAAGGGGCAGACAAAUCACACAUCCAAGUGACAUCUGAUGAAGACAGCAAGUGGGCCACUCCUCUCCAAGCACCCUCUAGCCUGUAUGUUCAUUAAAAGUCUCCAGGCCCAGCUGGCAGUGGUGGUGCACACCUGUAAUCUCAGCAAUUUAGCGAGGCCCUGUCUCAAAAAUA
rnacentral:lncRNA from 1 species